rnacentral:rRNA from 1 species
UACAGAGGGGGCAAGCGUUGUUCGGAAUUACUGGGCGUAAAGGGCGCGUAGGCGGCCUGUUAAGUCGAACGUGAAAUCCCCGGGCUCAACCCGGGAACUGCGUCCGAUACUGGCAGGCUUGAAUCCGGGAGAGGGAUGCGGAAUUCCAGGUGUAGCGGUGAAAUGCGUAGAUAUCUGGAGGAACACCAAUGGCGAAGGCAGCACUCUGGGACGUGACUGACGCUGAGACGCGAAAGCGUGGGGAGCAAACAGG